AGUUAUCAAGGUCAUUUUCGACUAAAGAAUACAGAAAAAGCGAGAAACAAGAAGCACUCAAGAAAAGCAAAAGUUUUUCUAGCUCUGACAAAUCAAAGCCGAAGUCAAAGCAACGAAUCAAGAGAAAACGAACCUGGAGCCGAGGAGAGCAAAACCACAGGAAAACUAUCAGACUAUGUCGUCAUUUGUCUGACCUCGUGGCUUACACUCCGUCCAGCAGCUUUAAAGGCCUGGAUCUGACUGAAGAUGAAAAUCGUUUGGAGGUGGUAUCGAUACCCGAGAACAAAGCCUAUCGCUAUACRGACACCAARUCMGUGCAGUUCGUCAAGUACACGUGUCAGAAGCUGUGUCGCAUCUACCCUGCUGGGUACAGAAUCGAYUCUAGUAAUCCUAAUCCACAAACCUUUUGGAACUGUGGCUGUC